GCCGGUGUUUUACUUAAGCGUGCCCUACUUCUUCCCAUUCCGAACAGAAAAGUAAAAGCGCUUGAAUCAGAUGAUACUAUUUGCUUCGGCGAACGGGAAAGUAUGAUACGCCGGCA
rnacentral:rRNA from 1 species